rnacentral:rRNA from 1 species
UACGUAGGGUGCAAGCGUUGUCCGGAAUUAUUGGGCGUAAAGAGCUCGUAGGCGGUCUGUCGUGUCGGCUGUGAAAUCCCGAGGCUCAACCUCGGGUCUGCAGUCGAUACGGGCAAACUAGAGUAUUGCAGGGGAGACUGGAAUUCCUGGUGUAGCGGUGAAAUGCGCAGAUAUCAGGAGGAACACCGGUGGCGAAGGCGGGUCUCUGGGCAAUAACUGACGCUGAGGAGCGAAAGCGUGGGGAGCGAACAGG